AGGAUUAACGCUGGCGGCGUGCCUAACACAUGCAAGUCGAACGAGGUAGCAAUACCUAGUGGCAGACGGGUGAGUAACGCGUGGUCAACCUACCGUUGAGUGGGGGAUAACUAGCCGAAAGGUUAGCUAAUACCGCAUACGUCUCCGAGGGGCAUCCCUUGGCGAUAAAAGGAGCAAUCCGCUCGAUGACGGGACCGCGUCCCAUUAGCUAGAUGGUGGGGUAACGGCCUACCAUGGCACCGAUGGGUAGCUGGUUUGAGAGAGCGACCAGCCACACUGGGACUGAGAAACGGCCCAGACUCCUACGGGAGGCAGCAGUGAGGAAUUUUCCGCAAUGGGCGCAAGCCUGACGGAGCGACGCCGCGUGUGGGAAGAAGGCCUUCGGGUCGUAAACCGCUGUCGAAGGGGACGAUAAUGACGGUACCCUUGGAGGAAGCCCCGGCUAACUACGUGCCAGUAGCCGC
rnacentral:rRNA from 1 species